AUGCUUUGUAGUCGAAAGGUCCGCCGCCGUAGGAUGGGUCUGCGGCCGAUUAGGUUGUUGUUGGGGUAACGGCCCAACAAGCCUGUAAUCGGUACGGGUUGUGGGAGCAAGAGCCCGGAGAUGGAUUCUGAGACACGAAUCCAGGCCCUACGGGGCGCAGCAGGCGCGAAAACUUUACAAUGCGGGAAACCGUGAUAGGGGAACUCUGAGUGCCCGUUAAAUCGGGCUGUCCAUCAGUUUAAAUAACUGGUGAAGAAAGGGCCGGGCAAGACCGGUGCCAGCCGCCGCGGUAAUACCGGCGGCUCGAGUGGUGGCCACUAUUACUGGGCUUAAAGCGUUCGUAGCUGGUUUGUUAAGUCUCUGGGGAAAUCUUCCGGCUUAACCGGAAGGCGUCUCAGGGAUACUGGCAGACUAGGGACCGGGAGAGGUGAGGGGUACUCCAGGGGUAGGAGUGAAAUCCUGUAAUCCUUGGGGGACCACCUGUGGCGAAGGCGCCUCACCAGAACGGCUCCGACAGUGAGGGACGAAAGCUGGGGGAGCAAACCGGAUUAGAUACCCGGGUAGUCCCAGCUGUAAACGAUGCGCGUUAGGUGUAUCGAUGACCACGAGUCAUCGAGGUGCCGAAGAGAAAUCGUGA
rnacentral:rRNA from 1 species